GCAUAAUAAAUAGUUUUUUAAUUGAAAACUGGAAUGAAGGGUUAAAACUAAAGAGAAGGUUUUGUUUAAUUAUUUUGAAUUUAAAUUAAAAGUAAAAAUGCUUUUAUAGAUUUUUGGGACGAGAAGACCCUAGAAGCUUAUGUUAUAUAAAUGUAAUUUUAAUUGGGGUAAUAUUUGAAGAUAAAAAUUUUUGAAAAUAGUGAUGAAAGGUUUAAAAAGUUACUCUAGGGAUAACAGCAUUAUAUAAUUAACAAGUUCUUAUUAAUAAUUAAGUUUGUGACCUCGAUGUUGAAUUAAUU
rnacentral:rRNA from 1 species